ACGACCUUACUUGAACAGGAUCUGUUCUAUAGGCUCGUACCUCUGUGUCCUUGAGUAUCAAGGAGACAAGAUCCGCAGCUUGGUUGAUGAAUCAUGACCAGGUGAUCGGAGCGUGAUUAUUGGCUGGGUCGUCCAUCAUCAUGGCUCGACUUGGCCGCAGAGGAUCGUUCCCAGGCAGUUCUGCUGUGUGGGAUGGUCACUUGGUUGUCUGACAAGCU